CGGGGUGCACCAGGCGCGAAAACUUUACAAUGCGGGAAACCGUGAUAAGGGGACACCGAGUGCCAGCAUCAUAUGCUGGCUGUCCAGGUGUGUAAAAUACACCUGUUAGCAAGGGCCGGGCAAGACCGGUGCCAGCCGCCGCGGUAACACCGGCGGCCCGAGUGGUGAUCGUGAUUAUUGGGUCUAAAGGGUCCGUAGCCGGUUUGGUCAGUCCUCCGGGAAAUCUGACGGCUCAACCGUUAGGCUUUCGGGGGAUACUGCCAGGCUUGGAACCGGGAGAGGUAAGAGGUACUACAGGGGUAGGAGUGAAAUCUUGUAAUCCCUGUGAGACCACCUGUGGCGAAGGCGUCUUACCAGAACGGGUUCGACGGUGAGGGACGAAAGCUGGGGGCACGAACCGGAUUAGAUACCCGGGUAGUCCCAGCCGUAAACGAUGCUCGCUAGGUGUCAGGCAUGGCGCGACCGUGUCUGGUGCCGCAGGGAAGCCGUGAAGCGAGCCACCUGGGAAGUACGGCCGCAAGGCUGAAACUUAAAGGAAUUGGCGGGGGAGC
rnacentral:rRNA from 1 species